UGUGUAGUUGCCUGUCAGCACUAUUUUGUAUAGCGUCACAUUUCGUUUGUUCAUUUUGUUGGUUUGUUCGGUGUUCAUUCAAAGAGAAUGUACGCAUCCAUGCUGCGCCUUGGUCUCAUUCUAACUACGGACGUGCCAAGUGCACACCUGCGCUUCAACUGUUGAACUUGAGGUCUUGGCAACUGGGCGGCUCGGCUGCCAUGAUGGCCUUGGCGCCGUGCAUUAUAGGAAGGAACUUGCAGUGCAACUCACCUCGGGUCUCCUUCCAGCACCGCACCGAUGCCAGCUGCUUCUUCUCAAUGUUCCGCUCUGACACCGACAGCUCUAGAGUCUGGGACAGAGCAUAAGGAGUAGUCGUAUGGCUGUGGGUGGUCGUACCUCCUGCACUAGAAGCCCCUCCUGCAUGUAGCAUGUAUCUAUGGUCUUGAGGAGCUCCAUGGUCUUAUACUGGCCCUGACACGUCUUCCGCUUGUCCUGGGAGCCCAACAUGCACUUCAACAAUACCAGGCCCACCCGGAAAUUGAUCUUCAAUCCUGGACGAUCACACACCAGACAGCAGUGGUGUAAAGUGCCUAAGUAAAAAUGUAAACAACAACAUUUCAAAUUUAGCUACUUACAGUUUUUUACAAUCACACACUAAAAGUGGUAUUUGAGGCACACUCAGAGAAACAAUUCACUCAUGUACCUAAUCUUCAAACCAAGUCUGCAAAACUGCAAGCACAAUAUCUGCUUUACACUCAGUUUGCAAUUGUAAAACACACUUUUUGCAAAACACUAGUUCUCUAUAUUAGACACUUUGUUCAAAACUAACAGGUCUUGUGCUUCAUUUGGAAAGUACUGUCAUUCCAAAUGCCACACUCAUUUACCCAUUACCUACACCCAGUGCUGACGUGUGAAAACACUUAUAGCUAAUAUCUUCACUAAGAAAUCAGAGGUUGAGCACUAUAAAUAUGCUUCAGGUUGUCUUUCUUGGUUUGGACAACAAUGGAGGCCAAUUUUGGAGAGCGAGUUAGAGGAGCGAGAGUAAGAGGGGGAGGAGGAUGAGGACAAGGAGGAGGAAGAGGAUAAGGAGGAGGCCUGUGGUGACAUAGACGAGGGGGCAUGCCAGGGCUGGAUACGCCACUCCAGACACUGCUUCCCCCGCUGUUUAGCCAGAGAGAACAUCGCUUGUGAUGUUUAUGAUGUGCUGUGGCCAGACAAAAAUAGGAGACAGGAUGCACCCUAACGGCUUUUUUUUUAUAUCAACAAGCCUAUUUGGUUGUCUCCUACUGUAUUUGUUUUGUCUGUUACUGUUCAUCCUGAAAUCUGGAUGAAAAUACAAUGUUUUGAGAAAUAAAUACAUUACAUUUUUUCCACCUUAGAUUUCUAUUUAUAG